CUUAAACAGGAUAUAGAUCUCUUGUCUGCUGCCGUUGCCAGCCCUCCCCUUCUAACCUGCCUGGAUUUUCUGUAGCUGUCCAAUCACAGACUUCCCAAUACAGCUCAAUGAGAAGUCUUGGCAAGGUGGGUGCUCUUUGCAACUGCUGCCUCUUGAGUUCAGUGCAACUAAGCUAACCAAACCAGGAAGUAACUGGACCUGUUGUCUGCUUGCAAAGCCAGGGGGGGGG